rnacentral:rRNA from 1 species
AGUUCGAUCCUGGCUCAGAUUGAACGCUGGCGGGAUCUUUACAUGCAGUCGAACGGCGGCACGGACUUCGGUCUGGUGGCGAGUGGCGAACGGGUGAGUAAUGUAUCAGGUUGUGCCUGGUAGCGAAGGGAUAACUGCAAAGGCGUAGCUAAUACUGCGCAUACGCCCUUCCAGGGGAAAGCGGGGACCUUCCGGGCCUCGCACUAUUAUGGGCAACCGAUAUCGGAUUAGCUGGUUGUGGUGGGAGUAACGGCUCACCAAGGCGACGAUCCAUAGCUGGUUUGAGGGGCGACUGACCACACUGGGACUGAGACACAGCCCGAACUCACACCAGGAGGCGGCAGUGGGGAAUUUUGGACAAUGGGGAAACCGCUGGUCCGCCAUCCCGCGUCGGUGAAGCGCUUCGGGUUGUAAAGCACUUUUGGCAGGAAAGAAACGGCACGGAUAAUACCCGUGCAACUGACAGUCUGCAGAAUAAGCUUAUUUAACUACGUGCCAGCAGCCGCGGUAAUACGUAAGGUUUGAAAGCAUUAAUCGGAAUUACUGGGCAUAAAGCGUGCGCAGGCGGUUCAGGAAGAAAGAUGUGAAAUCCCAGAGCUUAACUUUGGAGCCUGCAUUUUUAACUACCGAGCUAGAAGUGGCGCAAUCAGAGGAGGUCGAUUCCGCGUGUAGCAAUCGAAAUGCGUAGAUAUGCGGAGGAAGAAUUAUGAUGUGGCUGCUCUGGGACACAACACUGACGACUCAUGCACAACGUAAGGGGACAAACAGGAUUAGAUACCUGGUAGUCCGCUAAACGAUGUCAACUAGCUGUUGGGCCUUCGGGCCUUGGUAGCGCAACUAACGCGUCUGGAGAUUGACCCCCUGGGAAAUACGAAUAACGAGAUAAAACUCUGAAAAAGAUUCGUGGGGAUACUGGCGGUGGACGAUGUGGAUUAAUUCGUUAGCACGGCAACACCUCUGCUGACGUAUCCCGAUCCCGAAAAGGUGAAAGUGCCCGCGAAGAACGUUUACAGGUGCUGCAUGGCUGUCGUCAGCUCGUGUGGGAGCGAGAUGUUGGGUUAAGUCCCGCAACGAGCGCAACCCGCUGUCAUUAGUUGCUACGAAAGGCCUCUAAUGAGACUGCCGACAUUAAACCGGAGGAAGGUGGGGAUGACGUCAAGUCCUCACCUUAUUAUGGGUAGGGCUUUCACCGCGUCGUCUGUGGUCGGGGCAGAAGAGGGUCGCCAACCCGCGAGGAGCCAAUCCCGGCUUGAUCGUAGUCCGGAUCGCAGUCUGCAACUCAUUUUCAAGUAAUCCCGGAGAGAUCGCUAGUAAUCGCGGAUCAGCAUGUCGCGGUAGAAUGCGUUAUCCGGGUCUUGUACACCGCCCCGUCCCUGCUAAGUGGGUUUACCAAAAGUAGUUAAGCUAACCGUAAGGGCGAUUACCACAUUAGGAUUCAUGACUGGGGUGAAGUCAUGCUGGAGCGAAG